rnacentral:rRNA from 1 species
GACGAACGCUGGCGGCGUGCUUAACACAUGCAAGUCGAACGGAAAGGCCCUGCUUUUGUGGGGUGCUCGAGUGGCGAACGGGUGAGUAACACGUGAGUAACCUGCCCUUGACUUUGGGAUAACUUCAGGAAACUGGGGCUAAUACCGGAUAGGAGCUCCUGCUGCAUGGUGGGGGUUGGAAAGUUUCGGCGGUGGGGGAUGUACUCGCGGCUUAUCAGCUUGUUGGUGGGGUAGUGGCUUACCAAGGCUUUGACGGGUAGCCGGCCUGAGAGGGUGACCGGCGACAUUGGGACUGAGAUACGGCCCAGACUCCUACGGGAGGCAGCAGUGGGGAAUAUUGCACAAUGGGCGGAAGCCUGAUGCAGCAACGCCGCGUGCGGGAUGACGGCCUUCGGGUUGUAAACCGCUUUCGCCUGUGACGAAGCGUGAGUGACGGUAAUGGGUAAAGAAGCACCGGCUAACUACGUG